rnacentral:rRNA from 1 species
CGGCGAGUGAAGCGGGAAGAGCUCAAAUUUGAAAUCUGGCAGUCUUCGAUUGUCCGAGUUGUAAUCUAUAGAGGCGUUUUCCGUGCCGGACCGUGUCCAAGUCUCCUGGAAAGGAGUAUCAAAGAGGGUGAUAAUCCCGUACUUAACACGACCACCGGUGCUCUGUGAUACGUCUUCUACGAGUCGAGUUGUUUGGGAAUGCAGCUCAAAAUGGGUGGUGAAUUCCAUCUAAAGCUAAAUAUUGGCGAGAGACCGAUAGCGAACAAGUACCGUGAGGGAAAGAUGAAAAGCACUUUGGAAAGAGAGUUAAACAGUACGUGAAAUUGUUGAAAGGGAAACGAUUGAAGUCAGUCGUGUUCUUUGGAUUCAGCCAGUUCUGCUGGUCUACUUCCUUGGAACGGGUCAACAUCAGUUUUGUCCGGUGGAUAAAGGUAGUAGGAAUGUGACUUCUCCGGAAGUGUUAUAGCCUAUUAUCACAUACACUGGGUGAAACUGAGGACUGCAGCUCGCCUUUAUGGCCGGUCUUCGGACACGUUCGAGCU